GUGGGCUCGGCGGCUGCCUGGGCUUAGUGGCCCCUGUCAGAGAGGACAGUCUGGAGGGACAGUCUUCAGCAGCAGCAGCACCUGCCCCUCCUUGCAGGACCCUCCACAUGGUUACUUGGGUCGUGAGUCUCUGGGCUUGUCACGUUAUCCACAGGCUGGCUGUUAUGCCUCCUGCUAUACACACCAUGCUUCCCUCAAUUCAUCUUUCAAUCUGGAGGAUUUACAAGGAUUUAUACCAUUAAGAGCAAGAUCUCAACAACAUGCCGUAUGGAGAAAACGUGUUUUGCUUCUGCCCAUAUAGGUAUUAGUCUGUAAGCUCUUCUGGGCAGGGACCCAUUUUCUGUGUCAUGGCUCUCUGUGCAAAGCUUUAUUCCUUCUAAGGGCCAGCGUUUCAGAUGUUUGGGUCUAUUCCUCUAUCCAGGACUACCACUGAGGAACCACUGACCAGUGAGAUGAGGUCUUGCUCAGGACUGGUCUUGAACUCCUGGACUCAAGUGAUGCUCCCACUGCCGCCUCUCAAAGUGCUGGGAUUGCAGGUGUGAGUCAUCUGGCCUCAAGUGAUCUUCCUACCUCAGCUUCCUAAAGUGUUGGAUUACUGGUGUGAGCCAUCAUGCCUGGCCUCUUAUUUGCAUUUGAUUGACAAUCACAGUAUUCCUUUGCAGCAGGCAGGCUUCUCCCAGAAGGCCAGCAAGAGGAAUGGCAAGGGAGCAGGACCCUGCUUCACACCAGCUACAUUUCUGAUCAGCCCAAGACAACUCACAACCAGCAGACAACAUGGCAGCCACUAGCAAAACUUCAGGGUGAAAAGAAUGACCCAAAUUGGCUAAAUGGGAGCUAUGAGGACCUGAAAUAAAACAGAGUAUCAUU